CCUACGGGCGGCAGCAGUGGGGAAUAUUGGACAAUGGGGGGAACCCUGAUCCAGCCAUGCCGCGUGUGUGAAGAAGGCCCUCGGGUUGUAAAGCACUUUCAGUGAGGAAGAACGCCUGGUGGUUAAUACCCAUCAGGAAAGACAUCACUCACAGAAGAAGCACCGGCUAACUCCGUGCCAGCAGCCGCGGUAAUACGGAGGGUGCGAGCGUUAAUCGGAAUUACUGGGCGUAAAGCGCGCGUAGGUGGCUUGAUAAGCCGGUUGUGAAAGCCCCGGGCUCAACCUGGGAACGGCAUCCGGAACUGUCAAGCUAGAGUGCAGGAGAGGAAGGUAGAAGUCCCGGUGUAGCGGUGAACUGCGGCGAGAUCGGGAGGAGGAGCAGUGGCGAGGGCGGCCUUAUGGACUGACACUGACACUGAGGUGCGACAGAGUGGGUAGCAAACAGGAUUAGAUACCCCAGUACUC
rnacentral:rRNA from 1 species